rnacentral:rRNA from 6 species
CAAACGACUCUCGGCAACGGAUAUCCCGGCUCUCGCAUCGAUGAAGAACGUAGCGAAAUGCGAUACUUGGUGUGAAUUGCAGAAUCCCGUGAACCAUUGAGUCUUUGAACGCAAGUUGCGCCCGAAGCCACUAGGCCGAGGGCACGUCUGCUUGGGUGUCACG